rnacentral:lncRNA from 1 species
AUGGGUCAUUUCUCUUGUCCUGUUUUCAAGGCGGUGAAGCCCUCCUCUGCGGCCCGUCUUUCGGGAGGCCUGUCGAGCGCAUUUUUCAUUUGGGUCCAGGGUUUUUUCAACACGAGGGUCUCCAUUUGUUUUCUUUCUGAAGUUUCCACUUCGCGGCCAGCAUCACCCCCACUUCGCGGCCUUCUUGACACUUGGCUGGCGAAUCCUUUCAGGGGAUCGUGCCUGAGACGUGCAGAGACGACUCGUCCCAUCUUGGCCUGCAACGUGCCGCGUUUGCUCCAGGAGGCGUUGCAGUCACUGCCGGGUCCUCAGCGCUGUGUGGACCUGUCUUCUCGGGCCCGGCCGCCAGCCAGAGCUGUGGCCGGUCCAGUUUUUCAGGAACC